rnacentral:rRNA from 1 species
CAGCGCCACAAGUGGCAACCGUAUUUAUUGGGCCUAAAGCAUCCGUAGCCGGCGCUGUAAGUUUUCGGUUAAAUCUGUACGCUCAACGUACAGGCUGCCGGGAAUACUGCAGCGCUAGGGAGUGGGAGAGGUAGACGGUACUCGGUAGGAAGGGGUAAAAUCCUUUGAUCUAUUGAUGACCACCUGUGGCGAAGGCGGUCUACUAGAACACGUCCGACGGUGAGGGAUGAAAGCUGGGGGAGCAAACCGGAUUAGAUACCCGAGUAGUCC